CACGUGAAAUUCCGUCGGAAUCUGGGAGGACCAUCUCCUAAGGCUAAAUACUCUCUAGUGACCGAUAGUGAACCAGUACCGUGAGGGAAAGGUGAAAAGUACCCCGGAAGGGGAGUGAAAGAGAACUUGAAACCGUGUGCUUACAAGUAGUCAGAGCCCGUUAAUGGGUGAUGGCGUGCCUUUUGUAGAAUGAACCGGCGAGUUACGAUCUGAUGCAAGGUUAAGCAGAAAAUGUGGAGCCGUAGCGAAAGCGAGUCUGAAUAGGGCGAAUGAGUAUUUGGUCGUAGACCCGAAACCAGGUGAUCUACCCUUGGUCAGGUUGAAGUUCAGGUAACACUGAAUGGAGGACCGAACCGACUUACGUUGAAAAGUGAGCGGAUGAACUGAGGGUAGCGGAGAAAUUCCAAUCGAACUUGGAGAUAGCUGGUUCUCUCCGAAAUAGCUUUAGGGCUAGCCUCAAGUGAUGAUUAUUGGAGGUAGAGCACUGUUUGGACGAGGGGCCCCUCUCGGGUUACCGAAUUCAGACAAACUCCGAAUGCCAAAUAAUUUAACUUGGGAGUCAGAAUGUGGGUGAUAAGGUCCAUAUUCGAAAGGGAAACAGCCCAGACCACCAGCUAAGGUCCCAAAAUAUAUGUUAAGUGGAAAAGGAUGUGGCGUUGCCCAGACAACUAGGAUGUUGGCUUAGAAGCAGCCAUCAUUUAAAGAGUGCGUAAUAGCUCACUAGUCGAGUGACACUGCGCCGAAAAUGUACCGGGGCUAAACAUAUUACCGAAGCUGUGGAUUGUCCUUUGGACAAUGGUAGGAGAGCGUUCUAAGGGCGUUGAAGCAUGAUCGCAAGGACAUGUGGAGCGCUUAGAAGUGAGAAUGCCGGUGUGAGUAGCGAAAGACGGGUGAGAAUCCCGUCCACCGAUUGACUAAGGUUUCCAGAGGAAGGCUCGUCCGCUCUGGGUUAGUCGGGUCCUAAGCUGAGGCCGACAGGCGUAGGCGAUGGAUAACAGGUUGAUAUUCCUGUACCACCAUUAUUCGUUUUAAGCGAUGGGGGGACGCAGUAGGAUAGGCGAAGCGUGCUGUUGGAGUGCACGUCCAAGCAGUGAGAUUGAGUGUUAGGCAAAUCCGGCACUCUUAAGAUUGAGCUGUGAUGGGGAGAGGAACUUGUUCCUCGAGUCGUUGAUUUCACACUGCCGAGAAAAGCCUCUAGCUAGAAUAACGGUGCCCGUACCGCAAACCGACACAGGUAGUCAAGAUGAGAAUUCUAAGGUGAGCGAGCGAACUCUCGUUAAGGAACUCGGCAAAAUGACCCCGUAACUUCGGGAGAAGGGGUGCUCUUUGAGGUUCACGCUUCGAAGAGCCGCAGUGAAUAGGCCCAAGCGACUGUUUAUCAAAAACACAGGUCUCUGCUAAACCGUAAGGUGACGUAUAGGGGCUGACGCCUGCCCGGUGCUGGAA
rnacentral:rRNA from 1 species